rfam:Brachypodium distachyon strain Bd21 chromosome 3, whole genome shotgun sequence.
AAUCUACUCCCUCCGUCCAACCAAGGAUGUCUCAACUUUGAUCAAAUUUGAAUGCACCUAUACAUCCAAAUUUUGACAAACUUGAGACAUCUUUUGUUGGACGAAGGAAGUAGAAU